CGCCCGCCCGCCCCCGCGCGCGCCUGCCGCCUGUGCGCCGCGCGCUACUCGCACGGCCAGUCGCUCAACAAGCACCUGCGCACGAGGCACGGCCUGAAGACUUCGUCAACAAAUGCGGACCAGCAGGUGGAGUUUACGUAGAAGUGUUUUCAAGAAAGUUUUAAAAUUAUUUGAAACUGUAAUUAUCUAGUCGCGUACCAAAUAAAUAUAAACUUUAUUAACAUU